GACGAACGCUGGCGGCGUGCCUAAUACAUGCAAGUUGAGCGCUGAAGGUUGGUACUUGUACCAACUGGAUGAGCAGCGAACGGGUGAGUAACGCGUGGGGAAUCUGCCUUUGAGCGGGGGACAACAUUUGGAAACGAAUGCUAAUACCGCAUAAAAACUUUAAACACAAGUUUUAAGUUUGAAAGAUGCAAUUGCAUCACUCAAAGAUGAUCCCGCGUUGUAUUAGCUAGUUGGUGAGGUAAAGGCUCACCAAGGCGAUGAUACAUAGCCGACCUGAGAGGGUGGUCGGCCACAAUGGGACCGAGACACGGCCCAAACCCCUACGGGAGGCAGCAGUAGGGAAUCUUCGGCAAUGGGCGGAAGGCUGACCGAGGAACGCCGCGGGAGGGAAGAAAGGUUUCGGAUCGUAAAACUCUGUUGGUAGAGAAGGACGUUGGGGAGAGUGGAAAGCUCAUCAAGUGACGGUAACUACCCAGAAAGGGACGGCUAACUACGUG
rnacentral:rRNA from 1 species